rnacentral:rRNA from 1 species
CACAGAGUUAGCCGGUGCUUAUUCUGCGAGUAACGUCCACUAUCCCUAGGUAUUAACUAGAGUAGCCUCCUCCUCGCUUAAAGUGCUUUACAACCAUAAGGCCUUCUUCACACACGCGGCAUGGCUGGAUCAGGGUUCCCCCCAUUGUCCAAUAUUCCCCA